rnacentral:lncRNA from 1 species
GUGGGUGCCAAUUAACUGGGGGCGUCAAUUAACUGCGUAUCAAUUAAUUGGGAGUUAAUUAAGUGGAUGUCAAUUAAGCCGGUGUCAAUUAACUGGGGGUGUUAAUUAACGGGCCCUGAAUGAAUUGUCUAUCAAUUAAGAGCGUAUCAAUUAGCAAGGUGCCAAUUAAGUGCCAAUCAAUUAACGAGCUGUCAGUUAAUUGCAUGUCAAUUAGGUUAGUAGCAAUUUACUGGGUAUUAAUUAGUUGGAUAUCAAUUAACCGGGUGUCUAUUAAUUGGCUGUCAAUUAACUGCGAGUGUCAAUUAAGAGGCCAUCAAUUAACUGGAUGUCAUUAAUUGGCCAUCAAUCAGCCCAUUAAUUAGCGAUCAAUCACCCAACAAUUAAUUGGACGCCAAUUAAUUAAGCACCGACCAAUCGGACGCCCAUCAGCGGGAGCCGGCAAUUAAUCAAUUAACCAGAAAUCAAUCAACGUGGGCUAAUGAACGGGCCGCCAUCAACGAGAAGUUAAUUAACGCGACGUCAACCGACGGCUAUCGAUCAUUAAUGAGAUGUUAAUUAACGCGACGUCAAUCAGAGCCCGCCCACACGAGUGGCAAUUAGCGGGCUGUCAAUCAUGGGGCGCUAAUUAGCGAGAUGUCAAUCAAGGCGGGGGGGGGCAAUUAAGGGCACGGCAGUGGGGCCGCAAUUAACGGCGGGCGUUAAUGAGAGCUCCGGCUGUCAAUCAAUCCAGGCUGUCAAUCAAUCCAGACUGCCAAUCAAACAACGGUGUCAAUCAAACAGGGCUGUCAAUCAAACAGAACACGCCGGCAGGGCUGUCAAUCAAUCCAGGCUGGCAAUCAUCCCAGGCUGUCAAUCAAACGGGGCUGUCAAUCAUACUGAACUCCCUGUCAGGUCUGUCAAUCACACAAAGCUGUCAAUCAAUCCAGGCUGUCAAUCAAACGGGGCUGUCAAUCAAUCCAGACUGUCAAUCAAAUGGGGCUGUCGUUCACACAGAGCUGUCAAUCAAGGGUGGCUGACAAUCACACGUAUCAAUCAGACAAGGCUGUCAAUCAAAUGGUUCAGUCGAUCCGAUCGCUUUGUCAAUCAGGUGGAGCUGUCAAUCAAACAGGGCUGUCCAUGAAACCGAUCUGUCAAUCAGAUCCUUUUGUCAAUCUGACGGAGCUGUCAAUCAAAAGGGGCUGUCAAUCACACGGAGCUGUCAAUCACACGGAGCUGUCAAUCAAACGACACCCAAUCCCAGCCGUCAAUGGGAGCCGUCCGUCAGGCCGAGCUGUCAAUCAAACCCAGCAGCCAAUCAAACGCAGCUGUCAAUCAACGACCCGACACC